rnacentral:tRNA from 1 species
AGCCGAAAAGUAACAAUCCGCGCUAGAUUUAGAUUCUGGCGCCGCAAGGCGUAGGGGUUCAAGUCCCUUCACCCGCACCA